rnacentral:rRNA from 1 species
UACGGAGGAUCCAAGCGUUAUCCGGAUUUAUUGGGUUUAAAGGGUGCGUAGGCGGAAUUGUAAGUCAGUGGUGAAAGCCUGCAGCUUAACUGUAGAAUUGCCAUUGAUACUGCAAAUCUUGAGUACAUUUGAAGUGGGCGGAAUGUGUCAUGUAGCGGUGAAAUGCAUAGAUAUGACACAGAACACCGAUUGCGAAGGCAGCUCACUAAACUGUAACUGACGCUGAGGCACGAAAGCGUGGGGAUCGAAC